UACAGAGACCUCAAGUGUUAUCCGGAUUUAUUGGGCGUAAAGCGUCCGCAGAUUGUUUGACGGGUCAGGGGUCAAAACCCAGUGCUCAACACUGGGGUUGCCUUUGAAACUAUCAAGCUAGAGGGUGGAAGAGGUGAGCGGAAUUGCAGGUGUAGUCGUAAUAAGCGUUGAUAUCCAUAGGAACUCCGGUGGCGAAAGCGGUGUGCUGGAUCCUUUCUGACGCUGAGGCGCGAAAGCCAGGGGAGCAAACGGG
rnacentral:rRNA from 1 species